rnacentral:rRNA from 1 species
AAUGAACGUUGGCGGCGUGGAUUAGGCAUGCAAGUCGUGCGAGAAUCUCCCUUCGGGGAGAGGACAGCGGCGAAAGGGAGAGUAACGCGUGGUUACAUACCCUCGGGACCGGGAUAGUAGCGGGAAACUGCUAGUAAUACCGGAUAAUACCUUUGGAUCAAAGGUGUGAUUCCGCCCGAGGAUUGGACCGCGUUCUAUUAGCUUGUUGGCGGGGUAAUGGCCCACCAAGGCGACGAUGGAUACCGGGUGUGAGAGCAUGGCCCGGCUCACUGGGACUGAGACACUGCCCAGACGCCUACGGGUGGCUGCAGUCGAGGAUCUUCGGCAAUGGGGGCAACCCCGACCGAGCGACGCCGCGUGCGGGAUGAAGGCCUUCGGGUUGUAAACCGCUGUCAGUUGGGAGGAAGUGCCAGGGGGUUCUCCCCUUGGUUUGACCGAUCUUCAGAGGAAGGACGGGCUAAGUUCGUGCCAGCAGCCGCGGUAAUAC